rnacentral:rRNA from 1 species
UACGUAGGUGGCAAGCGUUGUCCGGAUUUACUGGGCGUAAAGGGCGUGCAGGCGGUCUGUUAAGUGCAGGGUGAAAGCUCCCGGCUCAACUGGGAGAGGUCCUUGCAUACUGGCGGACUUGAGGGGGGUAGAGGAAAGUGGAAUUCCCGGUGUAGUGGUGAUAUGCGUAGAGAUGGGGGAGAACACUCGUGGCGAAGGCGGCCAGCUAGACCAGUUCUGACACUGAGGCGCGACAGCGUGGGGAGCAAACAGG